rnacentral:RNase_P_RNA from 1 species
UGGAGUAGACGAGAUGAUCGCUGGUCCGCUUGGGGUGGACCGGAGGAAAGUCCGAGCUCCACAGGGCAGGAUGGUCGCUAACGGCGACUGGGGGUGACCCCAAGGAAAGUGCCACAGAAAAGAUACCGCCCACCGGCUGUAAGCUGGGAUUCUGGUUUGGAAUCGCCGAGUUUCGGUUUGUUUUGAAUCCUGAAAUCCGCGGUGAUGACCGCGGUGGGUAAGGGUGAAAAGGUGAGGUAAGAGCUCACCAGUUUUCCGGGUGACCGGGAAAGCUUGGUAAACCCCAUCCGGAGCAAGACCAAAUAGGAGGACGCUUGAGGGCGGCCCGCUCGAUGUCCUCGGGUAGAGUCGCUUGAGGCACGGGGCAACCGGUGUCCCAGAGGAAUGAUCAUCGCCCUUCGACGGGUGACCGUGAAAGGGAACAGAACUCGGCUUAUCGGCUGCUCCAACAU